rnacentral:rRNA from 1 species
AGUCGAGCGGAAGGCCCUUCGGGGUACUCGAGCGGCGAACGGGUGAGUAACACGUGAGUAACCUGCCCUAGGCUUUGGGAUAACCCCGGGAAACCGGGGCUAAUACCGGAUAUGACUGGCUGCCGCAUGGUGGUUGGUGGAAAGAUUUUUCGGCUUGGGAUGGACUCGCGGCCUAUCAGCUUGUUGGUGGGGUAAUGGCCUACCAAGGCGGGGACGGGUAGCCGGCCUGAGAGGGCGACCGGCCACACUGGGACUGAGACACGGCCCAGACUCCUACGGGAGGCAGCAGUGGGGAAUCUUGCACAAUGGGCGGAAGCCUGAUGCAGCGACGCCGCGUGAGGGAUGACGGCCUUCGGGUUGUAAACCUCUUUCAGCAGGGACGAAGCGUUUGUGACGGUACCUGCAGAAGAAGCGCCGGCCAACUACGUGCCAGCAGCCGCGGUAAGACGUAGGGCGCGAGCGUUGUCCGGAUUUAUUGGGCGUAAAGAGCUCGUAAGCGGCUUGUCGCGUCGACUGUGAAAACCCGUGGGUCAACUGCGGGCUUGCAGUCGAUACGGGCAGGCUAGAGUUCGGUAGGGGGAGACUGGAAUUCCUGGUG